CACGUAGGGCGCAAGCGUUGUCCGGAAUUAUUGGGCGUAAGGAGCUCGUAGGCGGUCUGUCACGUCGGCUGUGAAAACCCGAGGCUCAACCUCGGGCCUGCAGUCGAUACGGGCAGACUAGAGUUCGGUAGGGGAGACUGGAAUUCCUGGUGUAGCGGUGAAAUGCGUAGAUAUCGGGAGGAACACCAGUGGCGAAGGCGAUCACCUGGGGUUGUUCUGACGCUGAGGAGCGAAAGCUAGGGGAGCAAACGGG
rnacentral:rRNA from 1 species